rnacentral:tRNA from 1 species
GGGUGUGUAGCUCAAUGGUAGAGCCUGCGUCUUAUACACGCAUCGUUCCAGGUUCGAGUCCUGGCACACCCACCA